UACGUAGGGUGCAAGCGUUGUCCGGAAUUAUUGGGCGUAAAGGGCGUUUAGGCGGGUGAUUAAGUUCGCUAUGAAAGCGCCAGGCUAAACCUGGCGAGGCUGGCGGAUACUGGUCAUCUGGAGUGAGGGAGAGGGAAGUAGAAUUCCGCGUGUAGUGGUGAAAUGCGUAGAGAUGCGGAGGAAUACCAGUGGCGAAGGCGACUUCCUGGCCCUCAACUGACGCUGAAGCGCGAAAGCAUGGGGAGCGAACGGG
rnacentral:rRNA from 1 species